GGAUACAAAUAUAUAGGUUUUUAGAACGCAGUGAUGUUGAGUUUUUCAAUCGUAUUUUAAUUGGUAUUAAAUAUUAUUUUCUAUUAUAAUAAUAAUGAUUAUAUUUAGGUUGAUUUCAGUCCAGAAAAAAUGGAUUCACAAUUGCAAAGUAAGGAAAAUUAAAUGUUUAAUUAGGACAUCAUAGUAGCAGUGCUAUACCUCGAUGAGAUUGAAAGGUUGAAAGAAGUACAAUGAGACAGGAAACUAGCAUCGAGGAUUUGCGAUUCUGCCCAGUCCAGUAUAAGACUGAGUAUAAGCAAGACUUGAAGGUGCAAUCACGUGGCUGAUAAAACAAGACUCUCACUACUGCCGUGUCUCGCCCGGGAGGCAAUAAACCUUUUUCCACUUGGAGCGAUUGAAGUUUCUUUUCGCUCGUCUAACAUCUACCUUACCGAUAAUGUGGACUCCUUUUCUUCUAUUCUUAUUAUCUCUUACCUUUUCCAUCGCAAAAAAAGAACCG